GAGGUUCAGACCGGCGUGAGGGGCGUGCCUGACGCGGAGAGCCGGCAAGCUGGGGCCUCGCGGGCGUCCGCGACGAUCCGGUUCCCCUGAGCCCAGUGCGCGCGGGGCUGUCCCGUCCAGGCCUCGUCCCUCCUGGGCGGGGGCGGCCGGUCCAACGCGCGGCGCGUCGGGCGCUCGGCCGGCGGAGGACGGUCUGUGCCGCCCUGGCCCGCGACGCCGGGGUCCGGGCGUCGCUUCCGCGGGGAACCCGGGCGGGAGCGCUUUGACGGGGCUCCGCGGAGACGAGGAGGCCCUCGGAGGACGGCGGGCAGGGCCACAGCGGGGCGGGAGGGCCGCUCCGAGGGGAGACGCUCCCUGAGCCCGGGCACGGGUCCCGGACAGCCUUCCGGGCGGCGGCGCGGCCCUGGCCCGCCGUGUCCGCUGAGGCCUGCGGGGGGCUGUCCUCGAGGGCCGGGGCGCGGGGCUCGCGGGCUGCACAGGGCUCCUCGGGGCCUCCGUCCCCUCCGUCCCCUCCGUCCCCGCUCCCCGGCGAUGGCGGGGCCGUCCUGGCGGCUGUCUGAGGCUCAGAGAGGCAGCCUGCUGAGCACCCAGCUCUCAGGGGCUCGAGGGAGGGACAGCCGGCUGAGUCCGGGCGGAGGGAGCGGGAGGCCGCCUGGUUCUCUACCUGCCUCCCCGCGACUCACCUGGUUGUGUGUCGCCUGGUGUGGACGCCUCCCGUCUCCCCUCAGCUCCCUGUCCUGGAACGACCUGGACGCCCUGCUUUGCUGUGGGAGGGCAGUGGGUUGGGGGACGGUCGAAGGGCCUCCUGAGUUCUUGUUCUUGUUCUCUGUUUUACUGGGAUCGCCUGUCAAGGCUGAAAUUUGCAAGCGUCGGAGGAAACACAGGGCGACAUUUCUUUGUAGGAGUUCAGAGCGACAGCCCCUUGCUUUUGAGGCCAUGCUGAGCAGGAUGGUUUGGGGAAGGAUUUGGUCUAUGAUCAUAAAGCAGUUGCAGAGGAAAGCAGAGGUAUUUCCUGUCACCAUUGGGUCCUGCUGGUGUUUAUGCUGUUGCAACUGGCGUGUCGUGAUUGGCAUUAAGUUUCUGGGUAGAUGAGGCGAUGUUCCUCUGCUCCCUGGAGAAGGGAAGGUGUCUCGGGAGGUCGCUUAAAGGCUUUCUCUGCAGAAGGGGCCGCAGGUGGUGUUCUCUGCCUCCUGACGGUGCCGCUCAGAUUCCGGGUCGGCACAGUGACCAAACUUUUGGACUUAAUAACAGGUCACCAUGUGAAGCACUCCUGUCACUUCAGCGCUAGCAUCUGCGUGAACGAUCUGCACGGAUAUUUACAGGGUAACGGCUUGCUGUUGUGUUCAGCGCUGCAGCAGUUGUUAAGCUGAUGAGAUGAUGCAGGGCUGUGUCAAGCGUAGAACCUGGCUGACAGCAAGUGAGAAAGGGCCCAGGAGGGGCCAUCUGACCUUCGUAGAGGCGUGACUUCCAACACGAUGACUCGUCCACGGAGGAAGGUGGAUCGGUGCUCUCAGGCUGUUCUGUGAUGACAUCCAGGCACUCAUUGGCUAAACAUGAUGGGAGAUGUAAAAAAACUGUAAUGUCCGGAGGUGACAUUGAACUCUGGUGAAGUCUAUCCAAAGAAGUUGACUCUUCAGUGAGAGUCUAGUGAAAGCUUCACAGACAAGCUUGUGACUGCGCUCAGCCUUGAACAAGGUGUUGGAAUUCUCCCAGGUAAUUGAGAGGUGGAAGCACUCCAGGAUGAGCCGGGAGAGGAGGACAUUUAGGGGGUAAUUAGACUGGAAGGUGUGUGUAUAAAAUUGCAAUACGACAUUGUAAUUGUGAUGCAGAUUAUUCCUAUCUGACCAAUACUGCAUAGCAGAGGGUGGGAAAUGAGCCUGCUCAGAGAGAACACAGUCAGGUUAAGAAAGAGCCUUAUAUUUUGGCCACAGGAUUGUGGUUUGAUUCUGAAAUUAGUGGACGGUAAGUGCAGGUUUCAUGAGAGGGGACAGCCGUGAUCAGGUCUGCUCUGUGGAAAAGUCACCCAGGUCAAUGUGAGGAACAGACUGUUGCUGCUUUCAAAGUGUAAGAGAGACUGAGGGACGGAAACAGCACGGGAAGCCUGGGAGUGGAAGGAGAGGAGCGGGUCUCUGAGGGGUGAAAAAUAACGUAUCCCAAAAUUCCGAUUAAUUUUUCCAUUAAGUAGUGAAUUUUUACUAGAAACAAUGCCAGAAAUGUUAUAUUCAUUAUUUAAAUCUCCCAGAAACUAUGAAUUUGGUAUCAUUAUCCUGUUUCAUGAAGAAUGUGACUGUAGUGACAGUGCUUGUGCAGGGCACAUAAUGGAGUCUGGAGACAUGUUCAGAACUCAUGGUUUCCAGGUAUUUUGCAUUUCACUAGUACUCUGAUUUUUAAUUCACUUUAUUUUUUGAACAGUUGUACAGUUACAAAAACUUGCUGUGAUAGUACAGAGAGUUUCCCUCAGCUCCGUUCGCAGUUUCUGCUCUUAUGAACACAUCCUGUCUGUUAUCCUACACUACAUUUAGUCCUUUCUGCCUAGCCUCCCCUGGCUGUGACAGGUUCUCGGGCUUUCCUUGUUCUUGAAGAACUUGGUAGUUUUAGGGAGUAAUGGUCAGGUGUUUCGUAAAAUGUUCUCCAACAGAAUUUGUCUGUUUUAUUCUCAUGAUUAGAUUGGGAUUAUGGAUUUGGGGCAAGAAGAUCAGAGAGAUAAAUUGCCAUUUACAUCUCAUCAUUUCAAGGGUCCAUGCUCUCCCUGUGACUUCCCCCCAUUGAUGUUAAUGUUGGUCACCUGGCUGAGGCAGCAUUUGUCAGAUGUCUCCCCUGCGCAGUCACUCUGUCCCCUCUGUCCACACCGUGCCCUUUGUAGGGACUUUUGUCUGUGCAGCCCUCGCCUAAGAAGCGGAGAGUUAGCCUCGACCUCCUUUAGAGCAGAAUGUCCAAGUGAAUCAUUGGUAUUCUCCCACACAGGAGAUUUGUGUCUUUUCAUUUCCUUAUUAUUCAGUUAUUUACAUUGGUACAGUAUUGAUAUGCAUACAUUCUCCGGAUUAUAAUCCAACAACUUUAUUUAUUUUGUUGCUCAGGUUGUUCCAGCUUUGGCGAUUAAGAGCUCCUUCAGUUAGCCGAUGUGUCCCUUUGGCGUCCCCCCAGCAUUCUUGGCUUUUUUUGAGUAGCAUUUCAUGACUUUCUUAUGUUGAAUGACACCUUAGUCUCAUUUUCUUACAUUUCCUUCCCGAAUCCUAGAAUUGGUUAUUUCUACAAGGAACCCUGUUUCCUUUUGUUGGACUGUGGUAUUAGAAUUAAGACCUGGGUACCAGGUGUGUUUGCAGCUGUCAGGGCAUUAGGCUCUUUCAGCGGACAUAGCAGGGAAAUA